rnacentral:lncRNA from 1 species
UUGCUGGUCUGCUCUGGUCCUGGAAACAUCCACUGAUAGAAUCACUGGUCUGGGACAAAUUGUGGUACCCAAAGACCUCAGGAAGCACUUAGAAGCAUUACUCCCGAAGUCCCAUUCAUCCCAAGAAGAGUUGCUGGCUGGAGGAGACAACAUGUAAACAUGUCAUGACAAGAUGGUGUGGUGAGUGCUAUGUUGGCAUGUUGGAGGCAAGCAUAGCCAUGCUCACAGUGAGGAAUGACUUAGGAGCACAACCACAGCCCCAUGCUGCCUUCCACCAUUUGGAUAAAAGAAGGAAAAUGCCUUCAAAUUGCGAUCAUCAAGUCUGAGAUAAUCUGUUAUGGCAAUGUAAGAAGCUAACACAAGAUGCAGGAGUGAAGCAGGGAGGUCUGGAAAAAAGCUAUUGCAAAAUUUCUUCCUGAGAGGGUUCCUAACUUCUCUGAAGUCAAGUUGAGCAUCCA